GACGAACGCUGGCGGCGUGCUUAACACAUGCAAGUCGAACGGAAAGGCCCCAUUGGGGGUACUCGAGUGGCGAACGGGUGAGUAACACGUGAGUAACCUGCCCUUGACUUCGGGAUAACUUCAGGAAACUGGGGCUAAUACCGGAUAGGAAUCCUUGCUGCAUGGUGGGGGUUGGAAAGCUUCGGCGGUUUUGGAUGGACUCGCGGCUUAUCAGCUUGUUGGUGGGGUAGUGGCUUACCAAGGCUUUGACGGGUAGCCGGCCUGAGAGGGCGACCGGCCACAUUGGGACUGAGAUACGGCCCAGACUCCUACGGGAGGCAGCAGUGGGGAAUAUUGCACAAUGGGCGGAAGCCUGAUGCAGCAACGCCGCGUGCGGGAUGACGGCCUUCGGGUUGUAAACCGCUUUCAGCAGGGGCGAAGCUUGUGGUGACGGUACCUGCAGAAGAAGCACCGGCUAACUACGUG
rnacentral:rRNA from 1 species